rnacentral:rRNA from 1 species
GAUGAACGCUGGCGGCGUGCCUAAUACAUGCAAGUCGAGCGAACGGACGAGAAGCUUGCUUCUCUGAUGUUAGCGGCGGACGGGUGAGUAACACGUGUAUAACCUACCUAUAAGACUGGGAUAACUUCGGGAAACCGGAGCUAAUACCGGAUAAUAUUUUGAACCGCAUGGUUCAAAAGUGAAAGACGGUCUUGCUGUCACUUAUAGAUGGAUCCGCGCUGCAUUAGCUAGUUGGUAAGGUAACGGCUUACCAAGGCUACGAUGCAUAGCCGACCUGAGAGGGUGAUCGGCCACACUGGAACUGAGACACGGUCCAGACUACUACGGGAGGCAGCAGUAGGGAAUCUUCCGCAAUGGGCGAAAGCCUGACGGAGCAACGCCGCGUGAGUGAUGAAGGUCUUCGGAUCGUAAAACUCUGUUAUUAGGGAAGAACAUAUGUGUAAGUAACUGUGCACAUCUUGACGGUACCUAAUCAGAAAGCCACGGCUAACUACGUG